UGGGGAAUAUUGCACAAUGGGCGCAAGCCUGAUGCAGCCAUGCCGCGUGUAUGAAUAAGGCCUUCGGGUUGUAAAGUACUUUCAGUCGGGAGGAAGGUGUCAAGGUUAAUAACCUUGGCAAUUGACGUUACCGACAGAAGAAGCACCGGCUAACUCCGUGCCAGCAGCCGCGGUAAUACGGAGGGUGCAAGCGUUAAUCGGAAUUACUGGGCGUAAAGCGAACGCAGGCGGUUGAUUGAGUCAGAUGUGAAAUCCCCGGGCUUAACCCGGGAAUUGCAUCUGAUACUGGUCAGCUAGAGUCUUGUAGAGGGGGGUAGAAUUCCAUGUGUAGCGGUGAAAUGCGUAGAGAUGUGGAAGAAUACCGGUGGCGAAGGCGGCCCCCUGGACAAAGACUGACGCUCAGGUGCGAAAGCGUGGGGAGCAAACAGG
rnacentral:rRNA from 1 species